UGCGGUUAUACAAAAAUUAAAUUAAAUUUUUUUAGGGUUUAAUAAAUAAAUGAUUUAAUUAAAUAAUGUAAAUUUUAAAUUAUAAAGUGAAAUUUUAAUUUAAUUAAAAUUUAUUUAUAUUUAUAUGAUAUUAAUAAAUUUUAUAAAAAACUAGGAUUAGAUACCCUAUUAUUAAAAUUUAAAUUUAAUAAUCUUAAAAUAGUAUAUAAAUUUUAUAGAAACUUAAAUAAUUUGGCGGUAUUUUAGUUCAUUUAGAGGAAUCUGUUUAAUAAUUGAUAAUCCACGAAUAAAUUUACUUAAUUUUUAAUUUUGUAUAUCGUUGUUAAAAAAAUAUUUUUUAAUAAUUAUAAUAUUUUAAAAUUUAAAUAAAAAUUUAAAUCAGAUCAAGAUGCAGAUUAUAAUUAAGAAUAUAAUGGAUUACAAUAAAUUUUAUUUUAUUUGGAUAUUAAUUUGUAAUAAAUUAAUUGAAAUUGGAUUUAAAUGUAAUUUUAUUAAUUUUAUUAAAAUGAUUUUAAAUUAAAAUAUGUACAUAUUGCCCGUCGCUUUCAUUUAUAAAUUGAAAUAAGUCGUAACAAAGUAGAGGUACUGGAAAGUGUUUCUAGAAAGAU
rnacentral:rRNA from 1 species